UAGGGAAUCUUCGGCAAUGGACGGAAGUCUGACUGAGCAACGCCGUGCGAGUGAAGAAGGUUUUCGGAUCGUAAAGCUCUGUUGUUAGAGAAGAACGUUGGUAGGAGUGGAAAAUCUACCAAGUGACGGUAACUAACCAGAAAGGGACGGCUAACUACGUGCCAGCAGCCGCGGUAAUACGUAGGUCCCGAGCGUUGUCCGGAUUUAUUGGGCGUAAAGCGAGCGCAGGCGGUUCUUUAAGUCUGAAGUUAAAGGCAGUGGCUUAACCAUUGUACGCUUUGGAAACUGGAGGACUUGCGUGCAGAAGGGGAGAGUGGAAUUCCAUGUGUAGCGGUGAAAUGCGUAGAUAUAUGGAGAAACACCGGUGGCGAAAGCGGCUCUCUGGUCUGUAACUGACGCUGAGGCUCGAAAGCGUGGGGAGCAAACAGG
rnacentral:rRNA from 1 species